AAAGAAACCAACAGGGAUUGCCCUAGUAACGGCGAGUGAAGCGGCAACAGCUCAAAUUUGAAAUCUGGCCCUCGGGUCCGAGUUGUAAUUUGUAGAGGAUGCUUUUGGUGAGGUGCCUUCCGAGUUCCCUGGAACGGGACGCCAUAGAGGGUGAGAGCCCCGUCUGGUUGGACACCGAGCCUCUGUAAAGCUCCUUCGACGAGUCGAGUAGUUUGGGAAUGCUGCUCUAAAUGGGAGGUAUAUGUCUUCUAAAGCUAAAUACCGGCCAGAGACCGAUAGCGCACAAGUAGAGUGAUCGAAAGAUGAAAAGCACUUUGAAAAGAGAGUUAAAAAGUACGUGAAAUUGUUGAAAGGGAAGCGCUUAUGACCAGACUUGGGCUUGGUUGAUCAUCCUGGGUUCUCCCUGGUGCACUCUUCCAGUUCAGGCCAGCAUCAGUUCGCUGCGGGGGAUAAAAGUUUUGGGAAUGUGGCUCCUUCGGGAGUGUUAUAGCCCAUUUCAUAAUACCCUGCUCCGGACUGAGGUUCGCGCAUCUGCAAGGAUGCUGGCGUAAUGGUCAUCAGCGACCCGUCUUGAAACACGGACCAAGGAGUCGUCUUCGUAUGCGAGUGUUCGGGUGUUAAACCCCUACGCGUAAUGAAAGUGAACGCAGGUGAGAGCUUCGGCGCAUCAUCGACCGAUCCUGAUGUUCUCGGAUGGAUUUGAGUAAGAGCAUACGGGGCCGGACCCGAAAGAAGGUGAACUAUGCCUGUAUAGGGUGAAGCCAGAGGAAACUCUGGUGGAGGCUCGCAGCGGUUCUGACGUGCAAAUCGAUCGUCAAAUAUGGGCAUGGGGGCGAAAGACUAAUCGAACCUUCUAGUAGCUGGUU
rnacentral:rRNA from 2 species